rnacentral:rRNA from 1 species
CAACAGGGAUUGCCCUAGUAACGGCGAGUGAAGCGGCAACAGCUCAAAUUUGAAAUCUGGCUCUUUCAGAGUCCGAGUUGUAAUUUGCAGAGGGCGCUUUGGCUUUGGCAGCGGUCCAAGUUCCUUGGAACAGGACGUCACAGAGGGUGAGAAUCCCGUACGUGGUCGCUAGCUAUUGCCGUGUAAAGCCCCUUCGACGAGUCGAGUUGUUUGGGAAUGCAGCUCUAAAUGGGAGGUAAAUUUCUUCUAAAGCUAAAUAUUGGCCAGAGACCGAUAGCGCACAAGUAGAGUGAUCGAAAGAUGAAAAGCACUUUGGAAAGAGAGUCAAACAGCACGUGAAAUUGUUGAAAGGGAAGCGCUUGCAGCCAGACUUGCUUGCAGUUGCUCAUCCGGGCUUUUGCCCGGUGCACUCUUCUGUAGGCAGGCCAGCAUCAGUUUGGGCGGUGGGAUAAAGGUCUCUGUCACGUACCUCUCUUCGGGGAGGCCUUAUAGGGGAGACGACAUACCACCAGCCUAGACUGAGGUCCGCGCAUCUGCUAGGAUGCUGGCGUAAUGGCUGUAAGCGGCCCGUCUUGAAACACGGACCAAGGAGUCUAACAUCUAUGCGAGUGUUUGGGUGUCAAGCCCGAGCGCGUAAUGAAAGUGAACGGAGGUGGGAACCCGCAAGGGUGCACCAUCGACCGAUCCUGAAGUUUACGGAAGGAUUUGAGUAAGGGCAUGGCUGUUGGGACCCGAAAGAUGGUGAACUAUGCUUGAAUAGGGUGAAGCCAGAGGAAACUCUGGUGGAGGCUCGCAGCGGUUCUGACGUGCAAAUCGAUCGUCAAAUUUGGGCAUAGGGGCGAAAGACUAAUCGAACUAUCUAGUAG